UGGGGAAUAUUGCACAAUGGGCGCAAGCCUGAUGCAGCCAUGCCGCGUGUAUGAAGAAGGCCUUCGGGGUUGUAAAGUACUUUCAGCGAGGAGGAAGGCAUUAAGGUUAAUAACCUUAGUGAUUGACGUUACUCGCAGAAGAAGCACCGGCUAACGUCCGUGCCAGCAGCCGCGGUAAUACGGAGGGUGCAAGCGUUAAUCGGAAUUACUGGGCGUAAAGCGCACGCAGGCGGUCUGUCAAGUCGGAUGUGAAAUCCCCGGGCUCAACCUGGGAACUGCAUUCGAAACUGGCAGGCUAGAGUCUUGUAGAGGGGUAGAAUUCAGGUGUAGCGGUGAAUUGCGUAGAGAUCUGGAGGAAUACCGGUGGC
rnacentral:rRNA from 1 species